rnacentral:rRNA from 1 species
GACAGAGGGUGCUAGCGUUGUCCGGAAUUACUGGGCGUAAAGAGCUCGUAGGUGGUUUGUCGCGUUGUCCGUGAAAACUCACAACUCAAUUGUGGGCGUGCGGGCGAUACGGGCAGACUGGAGUACUGCAGGGGAGACUGGAAUUCCUGGUGUAGCGGUGAAAUGCGCAGAUAUCAGGAGGAACACCGGUGGCGAAGGCGGAUCUCUGGGCCGAUACUGACGCUGAGGAGCGAAAGCGUGGGGAGCGAACAGG